rnacentral:lncRNA from 1 species
CUUUGCUAGCUGCCCACUUCUGCCUUCUGCAGCUCUCUGAACUGUCUUUGGUCUACAUACCUGUUAUCUUUCUUUCAAGGUCUUUGGUACUUCAGCCGGCCCAAAGAGAAAGGGGAAAAAAUAAUGAAAACAUUGAAAGAGAGGUGUAGUGGAGAGAAAUGAAAGGAGAUGAGUAGGCGUGGGAAAAAGAGACAGAACAAGCAGAGUUGAAGAGUCAGAACAGACUACAUGUUUACUUUCUUUAAAAAGUUGAGAAUGAAGGUUUGAACAUCUGAGAACUGAGCUAACCUGGAGCAGACUUCAAAUGCAGAAAAAUCAGAAAGCUGAAUGAACGUGGGCAACAACCUCUGCACGCAAGCUGAGGUGUCACAGAAAGACCUGGUGGCAGGAAGAGGGCAGCAGAGUACCAUCUGGCUGUCUAGGGACAUAAGGUUUGCUACUUGAGACUGCAGAGGAUCAUCAUUGCUCCAUGAAAUACAGUUUUGGGAGCUGACUGCAAAAGCCCAGCCUGGAGUAAGUCAACAUGUUGCCAUUGGUACAACAUUAAUUUGUGCCAACUGUCAAACAGACUCUCCUGUGCACAAGACUGUGCAUGUACCAGCUGUAAACCCAAACCUUUCCAUUGGAUUUCCUGUCACUUCUCAGAGAACAAAUGUUCCAACUUAGCUAUAGC